AAAUUGAAGAGUUUGAUCAUGGCUCAGAUUGAACGCUGGCGGCAGGCCUAACACAUGCAAGUCGAACGGUAACAGGAAGCAGCUUGCUGCUUCGCUGACGAGUGGCGGACGGGUGAGUAAUGUCUGGGAAACUGCCUGAUGGAGGGGGAUAACUACUGGAAACGGUGGCUAAUACCGCAUAACGUCGCAAGACCAAAGAGGGGGACCUUCGGGCCUCUUGCCAUCAGAUGUGCCCAGAUGGGAUUAGCUUGUUGGUGAGGUAACGGCUCACCAAGGCGACGAUCCCUAGCUGGUCUGAGAGGAUGACCAGCCACACUGGAACUGAGACACGGUCCAGACUCCUACGGGAGGCAGCAGUGGGGAAUAUUGCACAAUGGGCGCAAGCCUGAUGCAGCCAUGCCGCGUGUAUGAAGAAGGCCUUCGGGUUGUAAAGUACUUUCAGCGGGGAGGAAGGUGUUGCGGUUAAUAACCGCAGCAAUUGACGUUACCCGCAGAAGAAGCACCGGCUAACUCCGUGCCAGCAGCCGCGGUAAUACGGAGGGUGCAAGCGUUAAUCGGAAUUACU
rnacentral:rRNA from 2 species